GCCCCUAUAGCUCAGUUGGUAGAGCUAUCGCCUUUUAAGCGACAGGUCGCAGGUUCGAGUCCUGCUGGGGGCACC
rnacentral:tRNA from 9 species